CAAAAAAUAGUUUAAUUAAAAUAAUAACAUUGGAAGUUAUAGAUUAAAUAGGUGUUUUAUUUUUUGA
rnacentral:tRNA from 2 species